rnacentral:rRNA from 1 species
UACGUAGGGUGCAAGCGUUGUCCGGAAUUAUUGGGCGUAAAGAGCUCGUAGGCGGUUUGUCGCGUCUGCUGUGAAAACGCGAGGCUCAACCUCGCGCCUGCAGUGGGUACGGGCAGACUAGAGUGCGGUAGGGGAGAUUGGAAUUCCUGGUGUAGCGGUGGAAUGCGCAGAUAUCAGGAGGAACACCAGUAGCGAAGGCAGCUCGCUGGGACGUUACUGACACUAAGGCGCGAAAGCGUGGGGAGCGAACAGG